rnacentral:lncRNA from 1 species
AUGCUUUUGUGUGUGCUUUUUAAAAAAAUAACAAAUUUUAUUAGAAGUGAGUAAGGGCAGUGUAGAAAAUACAGUGCUGCAGAUAUUUGAGUGUGAAUGAAGGCCUGAAUGCUUCAUUCUUUAUUUGGUUCAAUUUCCCACUGGAAGUCUGCCUCCUAUUUCUUGACUCUUUCAGCCACGAAGUUAACAUAAGCCCUAUAAAUGUUAAAAAGUAAAAUGUCACACAAGGCCGAAGUCCAGCUUCUAUUCUGAAGGUCCACAGGGAAAGUUACAGAAGAAAACAAACCUUUCUAUGGGAAGGCAAAAGCAAUUUAAGGCUCAGCUCAAAACUGAAGAGGGCUGGAGCCUGGGAAUAUUCUAGAAGCUGAAAGUCCUAGAACUUGUAGGCAACUGCUUAUCCUUUCAAUUUCUUCAUCUGUCUGCCCGGGAAACUAAAAUGGA